UGAGGAAUAUUGGACAAUGGGCGCAAGCCUGAUCCAGCCAUGCCGCGUGCAGGAUGACGGUCCUAUGGAUUGUAAACUGCUUUUGUACAGGAAGAAACAGUUCUACGUGUAGAACCUUGACGGUACUGUAAGAAUAAGGAUCGGCUAACUCCGUGCCAGCAGCCGCGGUAAUACGGAGGAUCCAAGCGUUAUCCGGAAUCAUUGGGUUUAAAGGGUCCGUAGGCGGUUAGAUAAGUCAGUGGUGAAAGCCCAUCGCUCAACGGUGGAACGGCCAUUGAUACUGUCUGACUUGAAUUAUUAGGAAGUAACUAGAAUAUGUAGUGUAGCGGUGAAAUGCUUAGAGAUUACAUGGAAUACCAAUUGCGAAGGCAGGUUACUACUAAUGGAUUGACGCUGAUGGACGAAAGCGUGGGUAGCGAACAGGAUUAGAUACCCUCGUAGUCCCUGAGCGGGCUGGCAAGGCGCAU
rnacentral:rRNA from 1 species